CACGUAGGGCGCAAGCGUUGUCCGGAAUUAUUGGGCGUAAAGAGCUCGUAGGUGGUUUGUUACGUCUGCUGUGAAAUCCUAGGGCUUAACCCUGGGCUUGCAGUGGAUACGGGCAGACUAGAGGUAGGUAGGGGAGAAUGGAAUUCCUGGUGUAGCGGUGAAAUACGCAGAUAUCAGGAGGAACACCGGUGGCGAAGGCGGUUCUCUGGGCCUUACCUGACACUGAGGAGCGAAAGCGUGGGGAGCGAACAGG
rnacentral:rRNA from 1 species